CGGACCUCAGAUCAGACAGACUACC
rnacentral:rRNA from 1 species